UACGGGGGGGGUAAGCGUUGUUCGGAAUUACUGGGCGUAAAGGGCUCGUAGGCGGCCAACUAAGUCGGACGUGAAAUCCCUCAGCUUAACUGGGGAACUGCGUCCGAUACUGGAUGGCUUGGAUUUGGGAGAGGGAUGCGGAAUUCCAGGUGUAGCGGUGAAAUGCGUAGAUAUCUGGAGGAACACCGGUGGCGAAGGCAGCCCCCUGGGCUGAGAUUGACGCUCAGGCACGAAAGCGUGGGGAGCAAACAGG
rnacentral:rRNA from 1 species